rnacentral:rRNA from 1 species
AUUGAACGCUGGCGGCAUGCUUUACACAUGCAAGUCGAACGGCAGCGCGGGCUUCGGCCUGGCGGCGAGUGGCGAACGGGUGAGUAAUACAUCGGAACGUGCCCAGUAGUGGGGGAUAGCUCGGCGAAAGCCGUAUUAAUACCGCAUACGACCUGAGGGUGAAAGCGGGGGAUCUUCGGACCUCGCGCUAUUGGAGCGGCCGAUGGCAGAUUAGCUAGUUGGUGGGGUAAAGGCCUACCAAGGCGACGAUCUGUAGCUGGUCUGAGAGGACGACCAGCCACACUGGGACUGAGACACGGCCCAGACUCCUACGGGAGGCAGCAGUGGGGAAUUUUGGACAAUGGGCGAAAGCCUGAUCCAGCAAUGCCGCGUGUGUGAUGAAGGCCUUCGGGUUGUAAAGCACUUUUGGCGGGAACGAAAAGGACUGUGCCAAUACCACGGUUCGAUGACGGUACCCGCAGAAUAAGCACCGGCUAACUACGUG